rnacentral:sRNA from 1 species
UAAUAAGUACUGGAUUAAGUGUAGUUCU